rnacentral:rRNA from 1 species
AGAGUUUGAUCAUGGCUCAGAACGAACGCUGGCGGCGUGGAUAAGACAUGCAAGUCGGACGAGAUUUUCCGUUGUAGCAAUACAGUGGAAAGUCUAGUGGCGAACGGGUGCUUAACACGUGGGCAACCUGCCAGGAAGUGGGGGAUAGCUCGCCGAAAGGCGAAUUAAUACCGCAUGUGAUCAGAGAGGACAUCCUUUCGAAAUUAAAGGUGGCGCAAGCUACCGCUUCUUGUGGGGCCCGCGGCCUAUCAGCUAGUUGGUGAGGUAACGGCUCACCAAGACGAUGACGGGUAGCUGGUCUGAGAGGACGACCAGCCACACUGGGACUGAGACACGGCCCAGACACCUACGGGUGGCAGCAGUCGAGAAUUUUUGACAAUGGGGGAAACCCUGAUCGAGCGACGCCGCGUGGAGGAUGAAGGUCCUCGGAUUGUAAACUCCUGUCAUUGGGGAACAAGGUGCAUACGUUAACUGCGUGUGCAUUGAUAGUACCCGAAGAGGAAGAGACGGCUAACUCUGUGCCAGCAGCCGCGGUAAUACAGAGGUCUCAAGCGUUGUUCGGAUUCAUUGGGCGUAAAGGGUGCGUAGGCGGCGCGGUAAGUCGGGUGUGAAAUCUCGGGGCUUAACUCCGAAACUGCAUUCGAUACUGCCGUGCUUGAGGACUGGAGAGGAGACUGGAAUUUACGGUGUAGCGGUGAAAUGCGUAGAUAUCGUAAGGAAGACCAGUGGCGAAGGCGGGUCUCUGGACAGUUCCUGACGCUGAGGCACGAAGGUCAGGGGAGCAAACGGGAUUAGAUACCCUAGUAGUCC